rnacentral:rRNA from 1 species
UACGGGGGGGGCAAGCGUUGUUCGGAAUUACUGGGCGUAAAGGGUUCGUAGGUGGCUCGUUAAGUCAGACGUGAAAUCCCUCAGCUUAACUGGGGAACUGCGUCUGAGACUGAUGAGCUUGAGUGCAGGAGAGGAACGCGGAAUUCCAGGUGUAGCGGUGAAAUGCGUAGAUAUCUGGAGGAACACCGGUGGCGAAGGCGGCGUUCUGGACUGCAACUGACACUGAGGAACGAAAGCCAGGGGAGCAAACGGG